rnacentral:rRNA from 1 species
AUGGUAAUCCGAAAAUUUUGGUGGGGAAGUAGAGAUGGUCAGCGAAACUCACAUUGGGUAUCAUGGAAGGACAUGACACAGCUCAAAGGCAUGGGAGGCCUAGGGUUUAAAGACUUUGAACUCUUUAAUUUAUCUCUGCUAGCAAGGCAGGUCUGGCGCAUACUGCAAAAUCCGAAGUCUAGUGCUCGGAUUUUGAAGAUUGUCUAUUUUCCUAACGCUUCUUUGUUGCAAGUUGAGCUGAGAUCACACCCAAGUCAAAUAUGGAGGGCAAUUGUAGAAAGAGACAUUCUCAAACAAGGCCUAAUUAGAAGAAUUGGUAAUGAUAUGGAUACCAAGUUGUGGGAAGAUUACUGGAUUCCCAUAUGA